GACGAACGCGGCGGCGUGCGUAAUACAUGCAAGUAGAACGCUGAAGAGAGGAGCUUGCUCUUCUUGGAAGAGUUGCGAACGGGUGAGUAACGCGUAGGUAACCUGCCUUGUAGCGGGGGAUAACUAUUGGAAACGAUAGCUAAUACCGCAUAACAAUGGGUGACCCAUGUCAUUCAUUUAAAAGGGGCAACUGCUCCACUACAAGAUGGACCUGCGUUGUAUUAGCUAGUAGGUGAGGUAACGGCUCACCUAGGCGACGAUACAUAGCCGACCUGAGAGGGUGAUCGGCCACACUGGGACUGAGACACGGCCCAGACUCCUACGGGAGGCAGCAGUAGGGAAUCUUCGGCAAUGGGGGCAACCCUGACCGAGCAACGCCGCGUGAGUGAAGAAGGUUUUCGGAUCGUAAAGCUCUGUUGUAAGUCAAGAACGAGUGUGAGAGUGGAAAGUUCACACUGUGACGGUAGCUUACCAGAAAGGGACGGCUAACUACGUGCCAGCAGCCGCGGUAAUACGUAGGUCCCGAGCGUUGUCCGGAUUUAUUGGGCGUAAAGCGAGCGCAGGCGGUUUGAUAAGUCUGAAGUUAAAGGCUGUGGCUCAACCAUAGUUUGCUUUGGAAACUGUCAAACUUGAGUGCAGAAGGGGAGAGUGGAAUUCCAUGUGUAGCGGUGAAAUGCGUAGAUAUAUGGAGGAACACCGGUGGCGAAAGCGGCUCUCUGGUCUGUAACUGACGCUGAGGCUCGAAAGCGUGGGGAGCGAACAGG
rnacentral:rRNA from 1 species